CCAGAGAUGGAUUGGUGGCCUUCGGGAACGUCUGACACAGGUGCUGCAUGGCUGUCGUCAGCUCGUGUCGUGAGGAUGUUGGGUUAAGUCCCGUAACGAGCGCAACCCUUGUCCUUAGUUACCAGCACGUUAUGGUGGGCACUCUAAGGAGACUGCCGGUGACAACCGGAGGAAGGUGGGGAUGACGUCAAGUCAUCAUGGCCCUUACGGCCUGGGCUACACACGUGCUACAAUGGUCGGUACAAAGGGUUGCCAAGCCGCGAGGUGGAGCUAAUCCCAUAAAACCGAUCGUAGUCCGGAUCGCAGUCUGCAACUCGACUGCGUGAAGUCGGAAUCGCUAGUAAUCGUGAAUCAGAAUGUCACGGUGAAUACGUUCCCGGGCCUU
rnacentral:rRNA from 1 species